GGUGAACGCUGGCGGCGUGCCUAAUACAUGCAAGUCGAGCGAACGGACGGGAGGCUUGCGUGGCUGAUGUAAGAGGCCGACGGGACGUUCACACGGGGAUAACCUACCUAUAAGACUGGGGUAACUUCGGGAAACCUGCGCUAAUGCGGGAUAAUAUUUUGACCUUAAUGCUUCACACGUCUAAGACGGUCUUUGUGUCACUAAUGGAUCGAUAAGCGCUCCAUGAGCUUAUUGGUAAGCUAACUGCUUAGCAAGGCAACGAUGAAUAGCCGACCUCAGAGGGUGAAUGACCACACUGGAUCUGAGACACGGUCCAGACUCUUACGGGAGGAAGCAGUAGGGAAUCUUCCGCAAUGGGCGAAAGCCGGACGGAGCAACGCCGCGUGAGGGAUGAAGGUCUCAGGAUCGGAAAACUCUGAUAUUAGGGAAGAACAUAUGUGUAAGUAACUGUGCACAUCUUGACGGUACCUAAACAGAAAGCCACGGCUAACUACGUG
rnacentral:rRNA from 1 species